AUGAGAUGGAAACGGACAGAGCUGGCGUAUCUGGCUUGCAUUCAUCCGUGGGUUUUCGGACGUCAUGGUACUACUGUUGUCCAGAUUGGGGCAGUUUCCUGUCUGUUCGGAAGCCUAUUGAGCAUUUGCAGGUGGAGUGCGCUGAGGUGCUCGGAACAGCUGCAUGAUCUCGGUCUUGAGGCCAGCCCUCCGGGGUCUGGUACCCGGGCUGGGGGAGUGUUGUUUGUUCUGGGUAUUAUGUUGUUGCAACGGUUCCGAGCUUGAGUUGGUUCCGAGCUGGCUGCUGGUGGCGGUCGCAUGCGACACGUGCUGGUGGUUAGUUUGGUCCUGCUUGAGCUCUCGUUGCUUGUUCUCAGUGUAAAAGCCGGUCAUCUGUCCGACCCGUCUUGAAACACGGACCAAGGAGUUUAGCGUGUGCGCGAGUCAUUGGGAGUUGAAAACCCAAGGGCGCAAUGAAAGUGAAGGUCUCCCUUGCGGAGCUGAUGUGUGAUCCUGGACACUUCGGUGUUUGGGCGCAACAUAGUCCCGUCUCGAUCGCAUGCGAUGGGGCGGAGACAGAGCGUACGCGCUGAGACCCGAAAGAUGGUGAACUAUUCCUGAGCAGGAUGAAGCCAGAGGAAACUCUGGUGGAAGUCCGAAGCGAUUCUGACGUGCAAAUCGAUCG
rnacentral:rRNA from 3 species